rnacentral:rRNA from 1 species
AGAGCCAACGGUGAAUGCCUUGGCGCCUACUACCGAAGAAGGACGCGAGUGGCAGCGAAAUGCUGCGGGGAGCCGCCUACUAGGCUUUGAUCCGCAGGUAUCCGAAUGGGGAAACCCAAUACCCGUACGGGGUAUUACUCCAGUCUGAAUAUAUAGGGCUGGUAGAGGGAACCGGAUGAAUUGAAACAUCUAAGUAAUCCGAGGAAAGUAAAACAAACGUGACUCCCCGAGUAGCGGCGAGCGAAAGGGGAUCAGCCUAAACCGAGUUGGUGUAAUAGCCUGACGGCGUUGCCAAUUCGGGGUCGUGGGAUCGACUGAGUACUGCGUCAGAAGUACUACACAGUUACAAAACUGUUAUUUAGCAGAAGCGUCCAGGAAAGACGCGCCAGAGAGGGUAAUGGCCCCGUAUGCGAAAGAUAUACAGUCUGUGAGUCGAUAUCCCGAGUAAUGCCGGAUACGUGGAAACUGGCAUGAAUUAGCGAGGACCACCUCGUAAGGCUAAGUAUAUGUAGGCGACCGAUAGUGAACUAGUACCGUGAGGGAAAGGUGAAAAGUACCCCGGGAGGGGAGUGAAAUAGUACCUGAAACCGUUGGUUUACAAUCAGUCAAAGUGUCGCCGUAGAUUUAUCUACGGUCACGAUGGCGUGCCUUUUGAAGAAUGAGCCAGCGAGUUACGGUGUGUGGCAAGGUUAACUAGAGAUAGGGAGCCGGAGCGAAAGCGAGUCUUAAUAGGGCGCAUAGUCGCAUGCUGUAGACCCGAAGCCGAGUGAUCUAUCCAUGGUCAGUGUGAAGCGGAGGUAAGACUCCGUGGAGGCGCGAACCCACCUAGGUUGAAAACUGGGGGGAUGAACUGUGGAUAGGGGUGAAAGGCCAAUCAAACUCGGUGAUAGCUGGUUCUCCCCGAAAUGUAUUUAGGUACAGCGUCGGGCGUUCAGUUAUGGAGGUAGAGCACUGGAUGGGUACGGGGCCCUACAAGGUUACCAACCCCAGCCAAACUCCGAAUACCAUAACUCCAGAGCCCGGCAGUGAGACCAUGGGGGAUGAGCUUCAUGGUCGAAAGGGAAACAGCCCAGACCGACAGCUAAGGUCCCAAAAUUCAUACUAAGUGGCAAACGAUGUGAGACUGCCCAGACAGCCAGGAGGUUGGCUCAGAAGCAGCCACCCUUUAAAGAGUGCGUAAUAGCUCACUGGUCAAGUGGUCUUGCGCGGAAAAUGUAACGGGGCUCAAGUAUGAUACCGAAGCUUCGGAUCCACGAUUUAUCGUGGAUGGUAGGGGAGCGUCGAUCCUGCAGAGAAGCGUCAGUGUGAACUGGCGUGGAGCGUGGUCGAGUGAGAAUGCUGGCAUGAGUAGCGAGAGAGGGGUGAGAAACCCCUCCGCCGAUAGCCCAAGGGUUCCUGGGGAAGGCUAUUCCACCCAGGGUAAGUCGGGAGCUAAGACGAGGCCGCGAGGCGUAGUCGAUGCACAACUGGUUGAUAUUCCAGUACCACCGCGUGCGCGUCCAUUCCAAGCAUGAGUUGCUAAGGGGCUGUCCUCCCAUUAGGGAACGACGAACCGACCCACUCUUAGGCGGAAAGCAAAGAGGGGACGCAGGAAGGUAGGUGAACCCAGGCGAUGGUUGUCCUGGGGCAAGCGAGUAGGGAGAGGUCUAGGUAAAUCCGGCCCUCAUUAAUCCUGAGACGUGACGCCGAGUCGAAACAGACGAAGUCACUGAUCCUAUGCUGCCAAGAAAAGCCUCUAGCGAGUUCACGCAGUGCCCGUACCCCAAACCAACACAGGUGGGCAAGUAGAGAAUACUAAGGCGAACGGGAGAACGAUGGUUAAGGAACUCGGCAAAAUGCCUCCGUAACUUCGGGAUAAGGAGGACCCCAGUAAGGUGAAGUCCCUCGCGGACCUAGCCUGAGCGGGUGACACAAAAUUGAGGAAAGCGACUGUUUACCAAAAACACAGCAGCGUGCGAAGUCGUAAGACGCGGUAUACGCUGUGACGCCUGCCCGGUGCCGGAAGGUUACGGGGAAGGGUUAGCCCUUGAGGCGAAGCUCUGAACCUAAGCCCGGUAAACGGCGGCCGUAACUAUAACGGUCCUAAGGUAGCGAAAUUCCUUGUCGGGUAAGUUCCGACCUGCACGAAUGGCGUAACGACUUUCCUACUGUCUCAACCAUCGACCCGGCGAAAUUGAAGUACGAGUAAAGAUGCUCGUUAGCUGCAGAAGGACGGAAAGACCCCGUGCACCUUUACUACAGCUUGUUAUUGUGAAUUGAUUUAUGCUGUGUAGGAUAGGUCGGAGACGAGGAAGCAUUGGCGCUAGUCAGUGUGGAGUCAACCUUGAAAUACGACCCUGCCUAUAUUGAUUCUCUAACCUAGGUCCAUAAUCUGGAUCGGGGACAGUGCCAGGUGGGUAGUUUGACUGGGGCGGUCGCCUCCUAAAGAGUAACGGAGGCGCCCAAAGGUUCACUCAGUCUGGUUGGUAAUCAGACGCCGAGCGCAAUGGUAAAAGUGAGCUUGACUGCGAGACUUACAAGUCGAGCAGGUACGAAAGUAGGGCAUAGUGAUCCGGCGAUAGCGUGUGGAAGCGUCGUCGCUCAACGGAUAAAAGGUACGCCGGGGAUAACAGGCUCAUCUUCCCCAAGAGUCCAUAUCGACGGGAAGGUUUGGCACCUCGAUGUCGGCUCAUCGCAUCCCGGGGCUGAAGCAGGUCCCAAGGGUUGGGCUGUUCGCCCAUUAAAGCGGUACGCGAGCUGGGUUCAGAACGUCGUGAGACAGUUCGGUCCCUAUCCUCUGUAGCCACAGGAAAUUUGAGAAAAGCUGACCCUAGUACGAGAGGACCGGGUUGGACGAAGCUCUCGUGUGCCAGUUGUUCCGCCAGGAGCAUGGCUGGUUGGCGACCUUCGGACGGGAUAAGCGCUGAAAGCAUCUAAGCGCGAAACCCUUUUCAAGAUGAGAUUUCCCACUGGAUAACCAGGUAAGGCCCGUAGUAGACGACUACGUUGAUAGGCCGGAAGUGUAAGCACCGUAAGGUGUUCAGCUGACCGGUACUAAUCGGCCGAGGGCUUGGAUU